rnacentral:rRNA from 1 species
AUUGAACGCUGGCGGCAGGCCUAACACAUGCAAGUCGAACGAGUGGCGGACGGGUGAGUAAUGUCUGGGCAACUGCCCGAUGGAGGGGGAUAACUACUGGAAACGGUAGCUAAUAACGCAUCCCAUCGGAUGUGCCCAGAUGGGAUUAGCUAGUAGGUGGGGUAACGGCUCACCUAGGCGACGAUCCCUAGCUGGUCUGAGCGGAUUACCAGCCACACGGGAACUGAGACACGGUCCAGACUCAUACGGGAGGCAGCAGUGGUGAAUAUUGCACAAUGGGCGUAAGCCUGAUGAAGCCAUGCCGCGUGUAGGAAGAAGGCCGUCGGGUUGGAAAGUACUUUCAGCGAGGAGGCGUUACUCGCAGAAGAAGCACCGGCUAACGCCGGGCCAGCCGCGGUAAUUC